CCAUCAUUCAGUUGGGCACUCUAGCGAGACUGCCGGUAAUAAACCGGAGGAAGGUGGGAUGACGUCAAAUCAUCAUGCCCCUUAUGACCUGGGCUACACACGUGCUACAAUGGUUGGUACAACGAGUUGCGAGUCGGUGACGGCGAGGCUAAUCUCUUAAAAGCCAAUCUCAGUUCGGAUUGUAGGCUGCAACUCGCCUACAUGAAGUCGGAAUCGCUAGUAAUCGCGGAUCAGCACGCCGCGGUCGAAUACGUUCCCGGGCCUU
rnacentral:rRNA from 1 species